UACGAAGGGGGGCUAGCGUUGCUCGGAAUCACUGGGCGUAAAGCGCACGUAGGCGGCUUUUAAGUCAGGGGUGAAAUCCUGGAGCUCAACUCCAGAACUGCCUUUGAUACUGAGAGCUUGAGUCCGGGAGAGGUGAGUGGAACUGCGAGUGUAGAGGUGAAAUUCGUAGAUAUUCGCAAGAACACCAGUGGCGAAGGCGGCUCACUGGCCCGAUACUGACGCUGAGGCACGAAAGCGUGGGGAGCAAACAGG
rnacentral:rRNA from 1 species